rnacentral:lncRNA from 1 species
AAUCCUUUGUUCAUAUCAUACUUACAUUUUAUUUUUUUAUCUCUUUAUUGCAGGUGAUCCUGUAGUACAACAAAUCCUUUGUGGAAUGAGGCAAGGUAUAAAUAAAUUACGAGACACCCCAAGAAGACAUUUCUACUCAGAUGCACCUUGUUUCAUGCAAGCACACCAUGAAACUCACUUAAAAGCUAAUAUGCCCCGCCAGCAUCACUAGCUUCUGCCAGAAGAGGAUGAGAAAUCAAGUUUCCCCAUUGGUUUUAUCAGAGAAGAAACUAUUGAACAAUUCCUCAAGUCCCUGGCCAAAUUCCUCACUGAGCCAACUCUAGGUUUCCUUAGCCAAAGAACUUGGCAUCCAAACAGAAGUGUCAUCACUGGAUAAUGGAUGUACUGGAAUCAGCCAAGCCACCCGUCCGGCAGCAGGAUAUUUGACAGUCCUUCUGAUUAAAGAAAAGAAGGUGCUUUACAAAGAAGUUCUUCUCAUUUUCAUGAAUUUUCAAGAUUCUUGGCUAAGUCUUCCCUGUAAUAAAAGAUGGACUAACAUGAAAACAACAAACCGAAGUUCGGUAACAUGUAUGCAUCCUGGGUACCUGGAAGAAACCCAAGAAAGCUAAGUAACUCCCCCAGUGGUCCAAGCCAUCACCUUAAAUACUCCUCUGCCUAAAGAUAGA